rnacentral:tRNA from 1 species
UCCAUCGUAGCUCAGCUGGCAGAGCAUCCGCUUCAUACGCGGAGUGUCGUGGGUUCAAGUCCCACCGGUGGUA